UCCGCCUUCUUUGUGGACUCUUUCAACUCCUUGUUGCCGGUCCUCCUGCUCACUCGCCCUCUCAACCUGGGCGUACGUCACACAUACACGAAUCCUCCGACUGCCCGACGGUCAGCGGGGACCCUGUUUGUAGCCCUGUCAGAGCUCCUGAAGCAGACGAGCCAGAUACGCCGUGUCCACAUUCCCAACUCACUGAAACUCUGAGGAAAAGAUAACCUGCCCCCCUGCCAGCACUCAAAUUCUGGUCAACAAAGGACUGCUCUCAAUCUGAACUGGCAAGAUAGAGGGAAGUGCUUUGAAGACUGGGAAACUCUGAAAAUCCUUUCGAAGGCAAAAUUAAUGACCUAGAGACUGCUUC